rnacentral:rRNA from 1 species
UACGUAUGGGGCAAGCGUUAUCCGGAUUUACUGGGUGUAAAGGGAGCGUAGGCGGCAGGGCAAGCCUGAUGUGAAAGCCCGGGGCUCAACCCCGGGACUGCAUUGGGAACUGCCCUGCUGGAGUGCCGGAGGGGCAGGCGGAAUUCCUAGUGUAGCGGUGAAAUGCGUAGAUAUUAGGAGGAACACCAGUGGCGAAGGCGGCCUGCUGGACGGUGACUGACGCUGAGGCUCGAAAGCGUGGGUAGCAAACAGG